rnacentral:rRNA from 1 species
CCUACGGGAGGCAGCAGUGAGGAAUAUUGGUCAAUGGUCGGGAGACUGAACCAGCCAAGCCGCGUGAGGGAGGAAGGUACAGAGUAUCGUAAACCUCUUUUGUCAGGGAACAAAGGCGGGGACGUGUCCCCGGAUGAGUGUACCUGAAGAAAAAGCAUCGGCUAACUCCGUGCCAGCAGCCGCGGUAAUACGGAGGAUGCGAGCGUUAUCCGGUUUUAUUGGGUUUAAAGGGUGAGCAGGCGGUCUGUUAAGUCAGCGGUCAAAGCCCGGGGCUCAACCCCGGCCCGCCGUUGAAACUGGCAGUCGCGAGUUGGAGAGAAGUAUGCGGAAUGCGCGGUGUAGCGGUGAAAUGCAUAGAUAUCGCGCAGAACUCCGAUUGCGAAGGCAGCAUGCCGGCUCCACACUGACGCUGAGGCACGAAAGCGUGGGUAUCGAACAGGAUUAGAUACCCGGGUAGUC